rnacentral:rRNA from 1 species
UACGGGGCGCAGCAGGCGCGAAAACUUUACCAUGCGGGCAACCGUGAUAAGGAAACCCCGAGUGCCAGCACAGGCUGGCUGUCCGCCAGUUUAAAUAACUGGUGAAGAAAGGGCCGGGCAAGACCGGUGCCAGCCGCCGCGGUAAUACCGGCGGCUCGAGUGGUGGCCGCUAUUACCGGGCUUAAAGGGUCAGUAGCUUGAUAACUGGGUCCCUUGAGAAAUCCGCCAGCUCAACUGGCGGGCGUUCAGGGGAAACUUGUUUUCUAGGGACCGGGAGAGGUGAGGGGUACUGCCGGGGUAGGAGUGAAAUCCUGUAAUCCCGGUGGGACCACCUAUGGCGAAGGCAUCUCACCAGAACGGACCUGACGGCAAGGGACGAAAGCUAGGGGCACGAACCGGAUUAGAUACCCGGGUAGUCCUAGCCGUAAACGAUACUCGCUAGGUGUCGGCCACGGUGCGACCGUUGUCGGUGCCGUAGGGAAGCCGUGAAGCGAGCCACCUGGGAAGUACGGCCGCAAGGCUGAAACUUAAAGGAAUUGGCGGGGGAGCACCACAACGGGUGGAGCUUGCGGUUUAAUUGGAUUCAACGCCGGAAAUCUUACCGG